ACGGAAGGCAGCAGUGGGGGAUAUUGCACAAUGGGGGAAACCCUGAUGCAGCGACGCCGCGUGAGCGAAGAAGUAUUUCGGUAUGUAAAGCUCUAUCAGCAGGGAAGAAAAUGACGGUACCUGACUAAGAAGCCCCGGCUAACUACGUGCCAGCAGCCGCGGUAAUACGUAGGGGGCAAGCGUUAUCCGGAUUUACUGGGUGUAAAGGGUGCGUAGGCGGGGCAGCAAGUUGGAUGUGAAAUCCUCGGGCUCAACUCGAGAACUGCAUUCAAAACUGUUGCUCUUGAGUGCAGUAGUGGCAAGCGGAAUUCCCGGUGUAGCGGUGAAAUGCGCAGAGAUCGGGAGGAACACCAGUGGCGAAGGCGGCUUGCUGGGCUGUUACUGACGCUGAGGCACGAAAGCAUGGGUAGCAAACAGGAUUAGAUACCCUGGUA
rnacentral:rRNA from 1 species